CAAGUCUCCCUCUCUCCUAGACUCCAACCUGUUGGAGACUCAGUCAGCAAUUCAUAUCUCCUCCAGCUCCUUCUCUGUCAGCCACUGGGUUAGAUCACAGUGGGUUAAAAACAAUUAGAAAGGCACGUGAAAGACCGAUGGUUUUGGCUUCCACCAGAGAAGAAGUAAAAGAUGCCUCAAAGGAGAGGUCUGUCCACUAAAACGCAAAACAAAAUGACAGCAGCAAUAAAACAAAACAAAUCAAGAAUGCUAGAAUCGCUCCACACAGUAGAUGCUCAACAUAGUAGAUGUGUGUUUUUCAGCUAAACUUCGAUUUUUGGUUUCAGUACCCAAUAGAACAUCAAGGUUGGUGUGAGAUGGAAGUGGGCAGGUUGGCAUUCUGGCUUGUACUAUUGGUGCAAGUUACCGGUCAGACUGAGCCCACGAGCAGUGUAAGAAAUAAAAGUGAUUGUUGCAGCGUAGGCUGCUGGGUCACACCUGCCUUUAAAGAUAUCAGCUUUCAAAACCGUGUUUUCUGCCAAGGUUUAAAUCCUUAAUCCAUCUUGAGUUGAUUUUUGUAUAAGGUGAGAGAUGAGGAUCCAGUUUCAUUCUCCUACAUGUGGCUAGCCAAUUAUCCCAGCACCAUUUGUUGAAAAGGGUGUCCUUUCCCCACUUUAGGUUUUUGUUUGCUUUGUCGAAGAUCAGUUGACUGUAAGUAUUUGGGAUUAUUUUGGAUUAUUUCUGGGUUCUCUAUUCUGUUCCCUUGGUCUAUGUGCUUAUUUUUAUACUACUACCACACUGUUUUGGUGACUAUAUCUUUAUAGCAUAGUUUAAAAUCAGAUAGUGUGAUGCCUC
rnacentral:lncRNA from 10 species